GACGAACGCUGGCGGCGUGCUUAACACAUGCAAGUCACGGGGCAGCAAUGGCAACCGGCGAACGGGUGCGUAACACGUGAGCAACUUACCGAUCUGAGGGGGGAUAGCCGGCCCAACGGCCGGGUAAUACCGCAUUCGCUCUUUGGGUGGAGUCACCUGAAGAGGAAACCUCCGGGGCAGAUCGAGGGGCUCGCGGCCUAUCAGCUAGUUGGUGUGGGUAAACGGCCCACCAAGGCUAUGACGGGUAGCUGGUCUGAGAGGAUGGCCAGCCACAUUGGGACUGACACACGGUCCAGACUCCUACGGGUGGCUG
rnacentral:rRNA from 1 species